rnacentral:rRNA from 1 species
AGGAUGAACGCUGGCGGCGUGCCUAAUACAUGCAAGUCGAGCGAACGGACGAGAAGCUUGCUUCUCUGAUGUUAGCGGCGGACGGGUGAGUAACACGUGGAUAACCUACCUAUAAGACUGGGAUAACUUCGGGAAACCGGAGCUAAUACCGGAUAAUAUUUUGAACCGCAUGGUUCAAAAGUGAAAGACGGUCUUGCUGUCACUUAUAGAUGGAUCCGCGCUGCAUUAGCUAGUUGGUAAGGUAACGGCUUACCAAGGCAACGAUGCAUAGCCGACCUGAGAGGGUGAUCGGCCACACUGGAACUGAGACACGGUCCAGACUCCUACGGGAGGCAGCAGUAGGGAAUCUUCCGCAAUGGGCGAAAGCCUGACGGAGCAACGCCGCGUGAGUGAUGAAGGUCUUCGGAUCGUAAAACUCUGUUAUUAGGGAAGAACAUAUGUGUAAGUAACUGUGCACAUCUUGACGGUACCUAAUCAGAAAGCCACGGCUAACUACGUGCCAGCAGCCGCGGUAAUACGUAGGUGGCAAGCGUUAUCCGGAAUUAUUGGGCGUAAAGCGCGCGUAGGCGGUUUUUUAAGUCUGAUGUGAAAGCCCACGGCUCAACCGUGGAGGGUCAUUGGAAACUGGAAAACUUGAGUGCAGAAGAGGAAAGUGGAAUUCCAUGUGUAGCGGUGAAAUGCGCAGAGAUAUGGAGGAACACCAGUGGCGAAGGCGACUUUCUGGUCUGUAACUGACGCUGAUGUGCGAAAGCGUGGGGAUCAAACAGGAUUAGAUACCCUGGUAGUCCACGCCGUAAACGAUGAGUGCUAAGUGUUAGGGGGUUUCCGCCCCUUAGUGCUGCAGCUAACGCAUUAAGCACUCCGCCUGGGGAGUACGACCGCAAGGUUGAAACUCAAAGGAAUUGACGGGGACCCGCACAAGCGGUGGAGCAUGUGGUUUAAUUCGAAGCAACGCGAAGAACCUUACCAAAUCUUGACAUCCUUUGACAACUCUAGAGAUAGAGCCUUCCCCUUCGGGGGACAAAGUGACAGGUGGUGCAUGGUUGUCGUCAGCUCGUGUCGUGAGAUGUUGGGUUAAGUCCCGCAACGAGCGCAACCCUUAAGCUUAGUUGCCAUCAUUAAGUUGGGCACUCUAAGUUGACUGCCGGUGACAAACCGGAGGAAGGUGGGGAUGACGUCAAAUCAUCAUGCCCCUUAUGAUUUGGGCUACACACGUGCUACAAUGGACAAUACAAAGGGUAGCGAAACCGCGAGGUCAAGCAAAUCCCAUAAAGUUGUUCUCAGUUCGGAUUGUAGUCUGCAACUCGACUACAUGAAGCUGGAAUCGCUAGUAAUCGUAGAUCAGCAUGCUACGGUGAAUACGUUCCCGGGUCUUGUACACACCGCCCGUCACACCACGAGAGUUUGUAACACCCGAAGCCG